rnacentral:rRNA from 1 species
UACGUAGGGUGCAAGCGUUAAUCGGAAUUACUGGGCGUAAAGCGUGCGCAGGCGGUUUUGUAAGUCUGUUGUGAAAUCCCCGGGCUCAACCUGGGAAUGGCAAUGGAGACUGCAAGGCUAGAGUUUGGCAGAGGGGGGGUAGAAUUCCACGUGUAGCAGUGAAAUGCGUAGAGAUGUGGAGGAACACCGAUGGUGAAGGCAGCCCCCUGGGCUAACACUGACGCUCAUGCACGAAAGCGUGGGGAGCAAACAGG